UCUGUUUUCUUCUCUAAGUUUUCUCUCGGUAUCAUUAGCAAAAUGAGAGAGGAAAAUCGACUGCUCCCUUCCGUUAACUCCAAAAAAUCAAAGUUUGUAGAGAGGUUCUUCAGACACCUGGAAUUGGAAUAAUCUUCUGCUCGACAGCUAGAAUCGCCUGAAGAAUCAGCAACGGCCUUCUUCUCUGCCACCUGAUACACCUUCGUCUCAGCUAACUAUUCCAGAGAACGGCGGGAAAGGAAGUCAGGGAAGGGCACCUUUCUCACCGGAUUCUUCUGUACUCCGGCAGCAACCCCUAUCGCCGGAAUUUCUCAGGGUCGACUGCAUUUCUCUGCUGUGGAUGUCAGUGACGAGCCCAUUGCAGAUCCUCACAAAUCAUCUCCAGAAAUCUCCUCUUGGCAGCUCCUGUUCUCAGCCUACAGGUUCAGCUCGACAGCAGGCUUUGAACUAUUUCUCUGUUUUCUCUGAGGAGAGCUUGACGGUGAUAGUCUGAGAUCCCUGGAUUUUCUGCCCCUUGAACGUGAGCAUCAAAGCAAAAAUUCGUGAAGCCUGCUCUGUUUGCGUAGAAUGAACACCACCGACUCGGGAUUCAUCAAAGAUCUUAAUUCACUCCUCCUAUUUUGCUCUCAGCCCUGCAACUAUGGCUUCUCUAUUUUCUAAGGUUAGUUUUUUUUCUCUUUCUCUGCGUCAAGACAAUUUGAGUCUUGGAAGUCGUUGAGUCAAUACUUGGAGCCGGAAAAGGAGGAGGAAGACGUCUGCUGCUGCUCAAGGGAGACCUGCUGCUUGGCCUGCUUGCCGAAGGAAAGGGGGAAGUGAACCCUCAUUCCCUCAUAUAUCUCUGCCUCCUCUCCCUCCAUGGUCGUGUUUCUGGAUCAAUCUUUGCUGACGACAGGAAGAGAUGCAAGUGAUCAUUUUUUUCCGAAGCCCAGCUGACCAUUGUCUUCCUUCUCUAAGAACAAUGAGAAGGAACUAUGGAAGACCAAGAAAAGAAUAAUGGUGACAUCAGCAGUUCAAAAAAUUCUCGUGACUGAUUCCUUCUUUUUACAUCGUUCAGAUAUGAUAAUCCCAGAAGUGUUUCCUUCUUUUUACAUCAUUCUUAUAAUCCCAGAAGUGUGUUGGUAUCUCAAGCACUUAACAGUGACAAUUAUGCCAUUUGGAGUAGAGCCAUGAUAAUGGCCUUGUCAGCCAAAAAUAAACUAGGCUUCAUAGAUGGAUCUAUCAAAGAGCAAAAGAAGGAGAUAAGAAUCGUGCCUUAUUAGUUAGAUACCAAUAAGAUGAUUCUUUCAUGGAUUUUAAA